rnacentral:sRNA from 1 species
CAACAAGCGAAAGGAGGUGAUCCGAUGUCUCAUGGUUCAGCAGUGAGGUCGGUUCAGUUCGUUCGGGAGACGCGCCGCUGAUCCUGCCGCGUGGAUGGAAGCCCUCCAUCCAUAUUGCCGCCGGGAGGUAUCCUCCUCCAAUCAACGUCGGCAGUUGCAGGUAAUGCGGUCCG